GUAGCUGAGUGGUAGAGCAUCUGCCUUGCAUGCAGAAAGACGCGGGUUCAAUCCCAGGUGUGUCCA